GACAAAGACAAGUCAGAAGGAACAGAAUGGGAACACAGGAGGGAACUAACAACCUGGACAUUGUUUCAAGCUAAACAAAGAAUUAAAGGCUCAGACAAGAAAAAAUUCAGGGAACAGGCCAUGUUAUGGAGCGGAUGUAUCACACAGAAGCUUGUUUUUAAUACAGGACGUGAACCCAGGAGACUGAUAGUUGUUGUAAUGAAGAAAGAGAAGAAGAAAACCUGAGGCGACAAGCGGAGAGAGAAGACCAAAGCUGGAGCUCACACAGGUGUUACACGUUAGGACAGACACAAGAGGGAGGGAAAUGAAAUAUUACCACAAAGAAAAACUAAACAGAACUUCUGGAAGCUCCCAUUACAGUCCUCUCUGGGACCAUUACUGUUUAUAUUAUUAAAUGUUUUUUCAGGCUUCGGACAUAUGAAGGGGGCUCUGCCAUGCAACAGGAAGAAAGACCCUUUUCCUAAGGAUGUGUUGUGGUUCUUAUGGAUUCCUUACUUGUGGAACUGAACCCAUGUGGAGUUUCCCAGCAGAGCCAACAUGUGCUCUUCGAUCUGCAAGGAUAUCCUCUGAAAACCUCCACUGUGGAGCAAAACAAGACACACUGCUGUCUGCCUGCAAAGAUUUCUGUAUCCGGUCUCACUCUGAAGAUCAGUACUUGGUGGUGUGGAAGCAGAAGCACUCACUACAUGCCAGUCUGAACAUAAUACUGCUGACUGUCCAAGAAAAACACGACCGCCAUGCACUUUACUGGAGAUGAAUACAGCGCAGCUGAUGUAUCUGAACUCUGACAGUCCUCUGUGGCCUCACCCAUCAGCCCCCGUGUCCUUUGCACCUGUCAGAGCCUAAAAGCAAGGAAGAAGAACACUACGAUCUCUCUGACAACAUGACCAGCUCUGUCUUCAUCAGAAUGACCCAACAGCUGCUGUGUUUCAGGCUGGAGGCUGCAGACCCCUCAGACAGCACGGC